rnacentral:rRNA from 1 species
CCUACGGGAGGCAGCAGUGGGGAAUAUUGCACAAUGGGGGAAACCCUGAUGCAGCGAAGCCGCGUGAGUGAAGAAGUUAUUCGUUAUGGAAAGCUCUAUCAGCAGGGAAGCAAAUGACGGUACCUGAGUCAGAAGCACCGGCUAAAUACGUACCAGCAGCCGCAGUAAUACGUAGGGGGCAACCGUUAUCCGGAUUUACUGGGGGUAAAGGGAGCGUAGACGGCAUUGCAAGUCUGGAGUGAGAGGCGGGGGCUCAACCCCCGGACUGCUCUGGAAACUGUACGGCUGGAGUGCAGGAGAGGUAAGUGGAAUUCGCAGUGUAGCGGUGAAAUGCGUAGAUAUUAGGAGGAACACCAGUGGCGAAGGCGGCUUACUGGACUGUAACUGACGUUGAGGCUCGAAAGCGUGGGUAGCAAACAGGAUUAGAUACCCGGGUAGUC